rnacentral:miRNA from 1 species
ACCACAAUCCCAGCUCCAC